GGAAAGAAAGCUUAGUUCAUUUGACUUGCUUCUAUUUUGUCUUGCUAUGCACAUAUGAAUAGUGCAUCCUUAUCAACCAUUUUCCACUCUGGAUGCCACAUUAGGAACUGCAGUAAAAUUUGAGCUGCCUUAUUUUCCGUUAGUUAAAUGUUUAACUUGAUAUUUACAUAACUUCAAGAGUUAUGCUUUAAGUUGUCUCGUCUCCCUACCAAGUUUAACUUCUGCUCUUUUUUUUUUUUAAUUAUUUAUCAGGU
rnacentral:misc_RNA from 1 species